UCUUUUGUCUUCCAGAGCAAAAAUUUCAGAGUCAGAUGGAUUUUCCUAGGGUGAGGCCUACCCGUUGUCAUCCAGAUGUGCUGACCUCUGUAAUUUCCCCAAAUAUGAGAAACUUAGCUGCGUAAUUUAUGAUAGCGGGGGGAGGGGGCUGCAUUUGUGCUCUUUCCUA